AUCCUACGGGGGGCAGCAGUGGGGAAUAUUGCACAAUGGGGGAAACCCUGAUGCAGCGACGCCGCGUGAGCGAAGAAGUAUUUCGGUAUGUAAAGCUCUAUCAGCAGGGAAGAAAAUGACGGUACCUGAUUAAGAAGCCCCGGCUAACUACGUGCCAGCAGCCGCGGUAAUACGUAGGGGGCAAGCGUUAUCCGGAUUUACUGGGUGUAAAGGGAGCGUAGACGGCUGCACAAGUCUGGAGUGAAAUGCCGGGGCUUAACCCCGGAACUGCUUUGGAAACUGUGCAGCUAGUGUGCAGGAGAUGG
rnacentral:rRNA from 1 species